GAUGAACGCUGGCGGCGUGCCUAAUACAUGCAAGUCGAGCGAACGGACGAGAAGCUUGCUUCCCUGAUGUUAGCGGCGGACGGGUGAGUAACACGUGGAUAACCUACCUAUAAGACUGGGAUAACUUCGGGAAACCGGAGCUAAUACCGGAUAAUAUUUUGAACCGCAUGGUUCAAAAGUGAAAGACGGUCUUGCUGUCACUUAUAGAUGGAUCCGCGCUGCAUUAGCUAGUUGGUAAGGUAACGGCUUACCAAGGCAACGAUGCAUAGCCGACCUGAGAUGGUGAUCGGCCACACUGGAACUGAGACACGGUCCAGACUCCUACGGGAGGCAGCAGUAGGGAAUCUUCCGCAAUGGGCGAAAGCCUGACGGAGCAACGCCGCGUGAGUGAUGAAGGUCUUCGGAUCGUAAAACUCUGUUAUUAGGGAAGAACAUAUGUGUAAGUAACUGUGCACAUCUUGACGGUACCUAAUCAGAAAGCCACGGCUAACUACGUG
rnacentral:rRNA from 1 species